UACGUCCACACCUUUUAGGUGUGGGCCAGUUGGCUGUCAUACUUCCAAGAAAAGCUCGAACUACUGUAAAGCAUCAAAUACCUGUACCGUAAACCGACACAGGUGGGUUGGUAGAGUAUACCAAGGGGCGCGAGAUAACUCUCUCUAAGGAACUCGGCAAAAUGACCCCGUAACUUCGGGAGAAGGGGUGCCAAGUAACUAAAAUUGCUUGGUCGCAGUGACCAGGCCCUGGCGACUGUUUAUCAAAAACACAGGUCUCCGCAAAGUCGUAAGACAACAUAUGGGGGCUGACGCCUGCCCAGUGCCGGAAGGUUAAAGAAGUUGGUUAUUCAUUCGUGGAGAAGCUGACGACUGAAGCCCCGGUGAACGGCGGCCGUAACUAUAACGGUCCUAAGGUAGCGAAAUUCCUUGUCGGGUAAGUUCCGACCCGCACGAAAGGCGUAACGAUCAGGGCACUGUCUCGGAGAGAGACUCGGUGAAAUAGACAUGUCUGUGAAGAUGCGGACUACCUGCACCUGGACAGAAAGACCCUAUGAAGCUUGACUGUAGCCUGGAAUUGGGUUCGGGCUCUUCUUGCGCAGCCUAGGUGGGAGGCGUUGAAAGCUUUCUUUUGGGAAAGCUGGAGCCAUCAGUGAGAGACCACUCUGGAGGAGCUAGAAUUCUAAUGGCGUUCCUUGAAGCAGGACGCUUGACAGUUUCAGGUGGGCAGUUUGACUGGGGCGGUCACCUCCUAAAAGGUAACGGAGGUGUGCAAAGGUUCCCUCAGGCUGGACGGAAAUCAGCCGUAGAGUGUGAAGGCAGAAGGGAGCUUGACUGCAAGACCUACAAGUCGAGCAGGGGCGAAAGCCGGCCUUAGUGAUCCGACGGUUCCAUGUGGAAGGGCCGUCGCUCAACGGAUAAAAGUUACUCUAAGGAUAACAGGCUGAUCUUCCCCAAGAGUUCACAUCGACGGGAAGGUUUGGCACCUCGAUGUCGGCUCAUCGCAACCUGGGGCGGUAGUACGUCCCAAGGGUUGGGCUGUUCGCCCAUGAAAGCGGUACGUGAGCUGGGUUCAGAACGUCGUGAGACAGUUCGGUCCAUAUCCGGUGUAGGCGUUAGAGCAUUGAGAGGAGCCUUCCAUAGUACGAGAGGACCUGGAAGGACGCACCUCUGGUAUACCAGUUAUCAUGCCAAUGGUACACGCUGGGUAGCCAUGUGCGGAGUGGAUAACCGCUGAAAGCAUCUAAGUGGGAAGCCCACCUCAAGAUGAGUGCUCUCCAUCAGGUCACAGGAAGACAACCUGUUUGAUAGGCAGAAGGUGUAAGGCUAGUAAUAGUUUCAGCUGAUCUGUACUAAUAGACCGAUUGAUUUU
rnacentral:rRNA from 1 species